CGCUGGCGGCAGGCCUAACACAUGCAAGUCGAGCGGCAGCGGGAAGUAGCUUGCUACUUUGCCGGCGAGCGGCGGACGGGUGAGUAAUGUCUGGGAAACUGCCUGAUGGAGGGGGAUAACUACUGGAAACGGUAGCUAAUACCGCAUGACCUCGCAAGAGCAAAGUGGGGGACCUUCGGGCCUCACGCCAUCGGAUGUGCCCAGAUGGGAUUAGCUAGUAGGUGGGGUAAUGGCUCACCUAGGCGACGAUCCCUAGCUGGUCUGAGAGGAUGACCAGCCACACUGGAACUGAGACACGGUCCAGACUCCUACGGGAGGCAGCAGUGGGGAAUAUUGCACAAUGGGCGUAAGCCUGAUGCAGCCAUGCCGCGUGUGUGAAGAAGGCCUUAGGGUUGUAAAGCACUUUCAGCGAGGAGGAAGGGUUCAGUGUUAAUAGCACUGUGCAUUGACGUUACUCGCAGAAGAAGCACCGGCU
rnacentral:rRNA from 1 species